rnacentral:pre_miRNA from 1 species
CUUGUACUCCCUCCGUCCGAAAAUACUUGUCAUUGAAAUGGAUGUAUCUAGAUGUAUUUUAGUUCUAGACACAUCCAUUUUGAUGACAAGUAAUUUUGAAAGGAGGGAGUACUUG